rnacentral:rRNA from 1 species
CCUACGGGGGGCUGCAGUGGGGAAUAUUGGACAAUGGGGGCAACCCUGAUCCAGCCAUGCCGCGUGUGUGAAGAAGGCCCUCGGGUUGUAAAGCACUUUCAGUGAGGAAGAACGCCUGGUGGUUAAUACCCAUCAGGAAAGACAUCACUCACAGAAGAAGCACCGGCUAACUCCGUGCCAGCAGCCGCGGUAAUACGGAGGGUGCGAGCGUUAAUCGGAAUUACUGGGCGUAAAGCGCGCGUAUGUGGCUUGAUAAGCCGGUUGUGAAAGCCCCGGGCUCAACCUGGGAACGGCAUCCGGAACUGUCAAGCUAGAGUGCAGGAGAGGAAGGUAGAAUUCCCGGUGUAGCGGUGAAAUGCGUAGAGAUCGGGAGGAAUACCAGUGGCGAAGGCGGCCUUCUGGACUGACACUGACACUGAGGUGCGAAAGCGUGGGUAGCAAACAGGAUUAGAUACCCUUGUAGUC